GAUGAACGCUGGCGGCGUGCCUAAUACAUGCAAGUCGAGCGAACAGACGAGGAGCUUGCUCCUCUGACGUUAGCGGCGGACGGGUGAGUAACACGUGGAUAACCUACCUAUAAGACUGGGAUAACUUCGGGAAACCGGAGCUAAUACCGGAUAAUAUAUUGAACCGCAUGGUUCAAUAGUGAAAGACGGUUUUGCUGUCACUUAUAGAUGGAUCCGCGCCGCAUUAGCUAGUUGGUAAGGUAACGGCUUACCAAGGCAACGAUGCGUAGCCGACCUGAGAGGGUGAUCGGUCACACUGGAACUGAGACACGGUCCAGACUCCUACGAGAGGCAGCAGUAGGGAAUCUUCCGCAAUGGGCGAAAGCCUGACGGAGCAACGCCGCGUGAGUGAUGAAGGUCUUCGGAUCGUAAAACUCUGUUAUUAGGGAAGAACAAAUGUGUAAGUAACUAUGCACGUCUUGACGGUACCUAAUCAGAAAGCCACGGCUAACUACGUG
rnacentral:rRNA from 1 species